GCCUCUCUCUCAAAAAUAAACAUUAAAAAAAUGGUUACAUUUGAUCUCAGCCGAAAGGCUGAGAAGAGAUCAAAAAAAUGGUUAUAAAUAUCAUAUGUUAUUAACAAUUUUAAUUUAUUAUCCAGGAAACUUUACUGAGUGUCUAGUGUGUGCAAGGAACUGGGGAUUUAAAGAAAUUGAGAUAAGAGUCCUCGAGGAGCUCCUAGCUCAUGAUAGCAGAAAAUCUACAAUGGUAAAGGAAUAAUUGCAAUGCUAUGGUAGACCCGUCAUGCUAGAUAUGUAAACCACAGAAGCGGGGAUGGUCAAUUCUCCCUGGAGGUCAGAAGAGGUUUCUCAAAAGAGAUGACCCUACAAUAAGCCUGGAAGAAUGAGUAGGAUUCUGACAUGCAGAUAAAGAUGAGGCAGACAGCCAAGUAGAAGGAUCAUGGACUAUGGUGCUGAUGAGGACCUACAAAUUUUUCAUGGUCAUUUCAGAUGGUAUAAAGAGGGAAGGAGAUAGGGCAAACCAGAGACAGCCUCUAAGUCAGUGGUUUCCAAAGCGUCCCUGGACCAGCAGCAUUAACAUCAUCUAGGAACCUCAUAGAUAUGCAAUACUUGAUCCCUUCCAACACCUACUCAAUCAGAAACUCUGGGGUAGGGCCCAGUGAUCUAGAGGUUAACAAUCCCCCUGGGAUUGGGAUGAGUCUGAUUGGGAACCAGUGGUCUCAGGUCAUAAGUAGUCAGGAGAGUCGCAGAAGGCUCUACACGUUUGUUUGUUUGUUUUCUCCCUACACUGUUGCCUAAGUAGAGCAAACGAUCUUAGAUUGUCAGGACAAUGGAAUUUUCUUAAAAGCGAUUUCGUAAGUCUUUGACCAAAUUGUUAGUCUUCAGGGUUUGUUUUUGAAAGUAGCAAUUCAAUGACCGUUUAUAAGGCACAGCAGGACAAAUGGUUUCCAAACCCCUGUUUGUGACCUGCAUGGGGCCCCCAAAUGCCCUCUCGUUGUAGGACAUUAUGGGAAGAAAAUGAAUUUGCAUGAUGCAUAAAUGGUAGAAGGGUUUUAUGGCUCUUUAUAUGACAAGUUUGUGGAAAAUGGCAAAUAACACUUUUAGUUUAUAUUCAGCUGUAACAACAACUUAUUAUUUCCAAAGAUUAAAUUACAGGCUAGCAAAAUGAAAUGGGCUACACGGUCACUUCUUCAUGGCAUCCUCUUCCAGUGGCAACUUUUCAAUAAGCAAGCUCAGCUAAUUGAAAACAGAAACAGUUAUCUUCCAAAGAGAUCUUUGAAGUAGCUUCUGAUGGUUUGCAAUAAUGGCCCUACAGAGCGAUCAGUCUAAGAGUGUCUUCGUUUGGGCUGCUGACCUCUAAAGAUGAUCCGAUGCGUAAGGAACCUAGAGCCAUAAACCUUGCCUCGCUAGACUUGCCAGAAAAAGCUCACCGUUUGACAUUGGCCCUCGUCCGCCUGUCUGUGGCUCUUUCCAGACCCUCUCCAUCCACCUGCUCACAUUCUCACUGCCUCUUGGCUUAUCUAAAUCCGUCCACAUUAAGACGCACCUCAAGUACCCGUCCCCUGCAGAACCACUCUUUGCCGGUAGUCUGAUCCCAUGGUUCCGCUUUAACAAUUUCUAUUGCAUUCAUUGCUGAUGUGUUUCCCAAAUUUCACCCAACUUUAUGUUACCACCUUUAUGAAUUUCGUUAUGAUCUGCCACCUUGUUUUAUGAUUUACAUGAAUGCUUAAAUAUGUUCUUUAAUUUGAUUCCCCUUUUGCUAAAAUAAAUGUAUUUGAAGUUAA